rfam:Ceriporiopsis subvermispora B unplaced genomic scaffold CERSTscaffold_18, whole genome shotgun sequence.
GGCGCUAUAGUGUAGUGGUUUAUCACUCGGGAUUUUGAUCGGUCGCGAGUCCGCUGAUGUUCCCGUAACCCAGGUUCGAACCCUGGUAGUGCCU